rnacentral:rRNA from 1 species
UACGUAGGGUGCGAGCGUUAAUCGGAAUUACUGGGCGUAAAGCGUGCGCAGGCGGUUUUGUAAGCCAGAUGUGAAAUCCCCGGGCUCAACCUGGGAAUGGCAUUUGGGACUGCAAGGCUGGAGUAUGGCAGAGGGGACUAGAAUUCCUGGUGUAGCAGUGAAAUGCGUAGAUAUCAGGAGGAAUACCGAUGGCGAAGGCAGGUCCCUGGGCUAAUACUGACGCUCAUGCACGAAAGCGUGGGGAGCAAACAGG